rnacentral:rRNA from 1 species
CUCAUAAGGGCGUAUGGUGGAUGCCUUGACUCAAACGAGCGAUGAAGGACGUAGCGGGUUGCGAUAAGCCUCGGGGAGCUGCCGAGCAAGCUUUGAUCCGGGGAUUUCCGAAUGCGGCAACGCAUCUCGAUUUAUAUCGGGAUAUCGUUAACUGAAUUCAUAGGUUAACGAAGCGCACCCAGGGAACUGAAACAUCUUAGUACCUGGAGGAAAAUACAUAAACUAGAUUCCGUGAGUAGUGG